rnacentral:rRNA from 2 species
CAUGCAGUCGAGCGGAUGAAGGGAGCUUGCUCCCGGAUUCAGCGGCGGACGGGUGAGUAAUGCCUAGGAAUCUGCCUGGUAGUGGGGGACAACGUUUCGAAAGGAACGCUAAUACCGCAUACGUCCUACGGGAGAAAGCAGGGGACCUUCGGGCCUUGCGCUAUCAGAUGAGCCUAGGUCGGAUUAGCUAGUUGGUGAGGUAAUGGCUCACCAAGGCGACGAUCCGUAACUGGUCUGAGAGGAUGAUCAGUCACACUGGAACUGAGACACGGUCCA